rnacentral:rRNA from 1 species
GAUGAACGCUGGCGGCGUGCCUAAUACAUGCAAGUCGAGCGGACAGGCGAGGUGGUUGCUCCUCGGACGUUAGCGGCGGACGGGUGAGUAACAUGUGGAUAACCUACCUAUAAGACUGGGAUAGCUUCGUGAAGCCGGUGCUAAUACCGGAUAAUAUAUGCAACCGCGGGGUUCAAUAGCGAAAGAGGGUUUGGCUGUAAUUUCUAGAUGGAUCCGCGCCGCUUUAGCAGGUUGGUACGGUAACGGCUUACCAAGGCAACGAUGCGUAGCCGACCUGAGAGGGUGAGCCGGCACAGUGGAACUGAGACACGGUCCAGAGUCCUACGGGAGGCCGCAGUAGGGACGCGUCGGCGAUGGGCGGAAGCUUGACGGAGCAACGCCGCGCGAGUGAUGAAGGUCUUCGGGCCGUAUAACUCUGUUAUGGGGGAAGAACGAAUGUGUAAGUAACUAAGCACGUCGUGACGGUACCUAAUCAGAAAGCACCGGCUAACUACGUG